rnacentral:rRNA from 1 species
GACAGAGGUCCCAAGCGUUAGGCGGAAUCACUGGGCUUAAAGCGUGUGUAGGCGGACUUCUAAGUACCUUGUGAAAUCCCACGGCUCAACCGUGGAACUGCUUGGUAUACUGGUUGUCUUGGGCCAUCUAGGGGCUAGCAGAACAAACGGUGGAGCGGUGAAAUGCGUAGAUAUCGUUUGGAACGCCAAUGGUGAAAACAGCUAGCUGGGGAUGUGCCGACGCUGAGACACGAAAGCCAGGGGAGCGAACGGG